GAGACAUCCUGCUGUUCGGGACGUUGCUGAUGAAUGCCGGGGCGGUGCUGAACUUUAAGCUGAAAAAGAAGGACACGCAGGGCUUUGGGGAGGAGUCCAGGGAGCCCAGCACAGGCUGUUCGGCUCUUGAAUCCCAGCGAUGAAACCAGGAACUCACUUUCCCGGGAUGCCGAGUCUCCAUUCCUCCAUUCCUGAUGACUUCAAGAAUGUUUUUGACCAGAAAACCGACAACCUUCCCAGAAAGUCCAAGCUCGUGGGGCUUGCUUCUGACAUGUCUGAUGAGCGCAUUCCUGCUGUUGCUCCUGGCUAUUACAAGGUGUCGCUGUGGAAGACUAUUCCUGUACAGCUGUGUGAACCUGCCUCGUCACGGCUUCCUCUGCAGUGCUCUUGAAUAUCCCGGUUCCUGCUUAGGCCACAGCAGUGAGUCCAGGGAGAAGCAUCCUUCUACUCCCUCACUGUCCAGGUUGGCUGAAGAUGCUCUGCACUUGACCUCCUGACACUAACUUCCUUGCCUUUUCCCAUGGCAAGAGCAAGUCAUGGACUCUGAACUACUUCCUCUCCCUUUUUUCUAUUUAUUUUAUUUUAUUUUAUAUUUGUGAUGGAGUCUCGCUCUGUCACCCAGGCUGGAGUGUGGUGGUGUGAUCUUGGCUCACUGCAACCUCUGCCUCCCAGGUUCAUGCAAUUCUCCUGCCUCUACCUCCCAAGUAGCUGGGAAUACAGGUGCCCACCACCAUGCCCGGCUAAUUUUUGUAUUCUUAGUAGAGGUGGGGUUUCACCAUGUUGGCCAGGCUGGUCUCUUAACUCCUUACCUCAAAUGAUCCACCCACCUCGGCCUCCCAAAGUGCUGGGAUUAUAGAUGUGAGCCACUGCACCCAGCCCUUCCUCUCCCUUUCUCUUUGGGGUUCCCUUCACAAACAGGUGAGGCAGCUUUUUCAAGGGCAUUCCAAGCACAAAAGACCUUGUUGUACCUAAAUACUAUAAGGGACCUGUCAUUGAGGACGAACCAUCACAGCAAGAGGAAUUAUCUCGUGCCGCAUCUUCGCAUAACUGACAGGAUCCCUGGCAAGGAUGUCUCAAUGCAGAAAGUUGGCUAAGUGAACUGCAGUAUCUACCCUGGACCUAAAAGAACUUGCUAAUGUUUUCAAGACUACAAUUCAGAGGCUGUCUGAUUUAAUCUUUGCAUUUACAAAAACACCCUUUUACGUACAUUAAAUGUGGAAUAAAACU
rnacentral:lncRNA from 10 species